GAUGAACGCUGGCGGCGUGCCUAACACAUGCAAGUCGAACGGUCUUCGCAAGGGGACAGUGGCGCACGGGUGAGGAACACGUAGCCGACCUGCCUUGGAGUGCGGGAUAACGCCCCGAAAGGGGUGCUAAUACCGCGUAAGCUCACGGGAUUUAGAAACCUGGGAGAAAAGGCCUUCGGGUCGCUCUGAGAGGGGGCUGCGGCGCAUCAGGUAGUUGGUGGGGUAACGGCUCACCAAGCCAACGACGCGUAGGGGGUCUGAGAGGAUGAUCCCCCACACUGGGACUGAGACACGGCCCAGACUCCUACGGGAGGCAGCAGUGAGGGAUAUUGCACAAUGGGGGAAACCCUGAUGCAGCGACGCCGCGUGGGCGAUGAAGGUCUUCGGAUCGUAAAGCCCUUUUUGAGGUGACGAGCAAGGACGGUAGCCUCAGAAUAAGUCUCGGCUAACUACGUGCCAGCAGCCGCGGUAAAACGUAGGAGGCAAGCGUUAUCCGGAGUUACUGGGCGUAAAGCGCAUGUAGGCGGUUGGACAAGUUGGUUGUGAAAGCGCCCGGCUAAACUGGGCGAGGUCGAUCAAGACUGUGUAACUCGAGAGUGAUAGAGGGGCGCAGAAUUCGGGGUGUAGCGGUGAAAUGUGUAGAGAUCCCGAGGAAUACCAGUGGGGAAGCCGGCGCCCUGGGUCAUAUCUGACGCUGAGAUGCGAAAGCGUGGGGAGCGAACGGGAUUAGAGACCCCGGUAGUCCACGCCGUAAACGAUGUUCACUAGGUGUUCACUUGGCGCAAGUCAAGGGAGUGCCGAAGCUAACGCGAUAAGUGAACCGCCUGGGGAGUACGGUCGCAAGGCUAAAACUCAAAUGAAUUGACGGGGGCCCGCACAAGCGGUGGAGCAUGUGGUUUAAUUCGAUGCAACGCGAAGAACCUUACCAGGCCUUGACAUCCCCGGAACUUGGCAGAGAUGCCUUGGUGCCUUCGGGAACCGGGUGACAGGUGCUGCAUGGCUGUCGUCAGCUCGUGUCGUGAGAUGUUGGGUUAAGUCCCGUAACGAGCGCAACCCUUGUCCUUAGUUGCCAGCGCGUAAUGGCGGGAACUCUAAGGAGACUGCCGGUGACAAACCGGAGGAAGGUGGGGAUGACGUCAAGUCAUCAUGGCCCUUACGGCCUGGGCUACACACGUGCUACAAUGGCCGGUACAGAGGGUUGCCAACCCGCGAGGGGGAGCUAAUCCCAGAAAACCGGUCGUAGUCCGGAUCGGAGUCUGCAACUCGACUCCGUGAAGUCGGAAUCGCUAGUAAUCGCGAAUCAGAAUGUCGCGGUGAAUACGUUCCCGGGCCUUGCACUCACCGCCCGU
rnacentral:rRNA from 1 species